rnacentral:lncRNA from 1 species
CAUGGAAUCAGGUGACUAAAUAUGGGAACCAAGCUUUGAAGAAACAAAUAAAGUCCAUAGUAAAUUGUUUAUUCAUUUUCCUUGCGAUAUCAGCUUUUGAUGAGUCCAGAUGCUUUAUUUGCAUUACUGUUGGCCUGAGGCAUAUUUAGAAAUUAGAAUGUUGCAAUCACAUAUUCUGCAUCAGAGUAAAUGUCCCAUGUUGGGGUUGUCGUUUGGUAGAGUGUAUUAGCAAAAAUGUAGGGAUGGCAAUGGGGCGGUGUAGGGCGGGGGCGGUGUGGGUUGAGCUUAACCCGCAAAAUUUUUAAUCCGCCUCGCCCCGCCCCGCUUAACAACUCUUUUCAGUUUCAACCCACCCCACCACGCCCCGCAUAGACCAGCCCCGCAUAAUUUUUUUAAUAUUUUCUUUUUCUAGUUAUGUUUGAUACUAAAAAUAAAUUCAAAAAAAUAAAUUCAUUUUUUCAUUAAGUUGUAUUAAUUUAAUAGGAUAGUGACUUAAAUUUUUUAUUUUUGAGAGGUCAAUUGGGAAAUAUGUAAGAAAUUGUAUUAUUUUUUAUUGAACCGUUUUUCAUUUAUUAUCUUGAAUAUUUUAGUAGCUUUAAUGAAAUUAUCUUAAUAAAUAAUGUUCUAUUACUCUUAUAACAUGUAAAAACCUAAAAUUAAGUUUGAACUCACAUAAAAUCACAUAUACCCGCAACCCGCCCCGCCCCACAUUAAAUUUUAAAAAACCCACUUCAACACGCCCCCAUCCGACCCGCACCACACAACCUUAAACGCGCCCCGCCCCACAUAGCCUUAAACCCACCCCGCCCCACAUCCGCCCCGCCCCAUUGCCAUCCCUAAAUGCAUGUAUUAAUUAUAUGUAUUAGUAAUCCCUUGUUUGGUGCANNNNNNNNNNNNNNNNNNNNNNNNNNNNNNNNNNNNNNNNNNNNNNNNNNNNNNNNNNNNNNNNNNNNNNNNNNNNNNNNNNNNNNNNNNNNNNNNNNNNUACAUGCAUUACUAAUACACUCUAUUGGGUAUUAUUUAUACACUCUACCAAACGACCGACAAGGCAUGAGUUGAAUAAUGUGCUACAAGAUGUCCAGUUCAUAUGUUUAAUUUUACUUCUAUUUUACCCCUUGGUUUACUACGAUGAAAAAGGUGUGGACUUUAAUUUUAUUUACAGGAUAAGAGUUUGUCAACUGGAAUCUUUUUCCUGGAACUACUAAGUUCGGUUCAUCCUCGAGCUGUUAACUGGAGUCUUGUAACAAAAGGGGAAACUGGUAAUUUUCUUUCAGACUUGAACAGAUUCCUGCUUCCAGUAAUUCAAGUCAAUAUACUUGCUUGGUGGUGCACAAAAGAAAUUGGUUCUUGAUAUUUUCAUGCAAUAUAUUUCUUUGCUCCUUUUGUUUUGGUUUUGCAUCAUGAUAACAAUUUAUUAUCAAAUGUACAACAACAACAUACCCAGUGGAAUCCCACAAGUGGGGUCUUCCAAAAGACCCUCGGCUCAAGUGUAGCAAAUCCAAGUAUAGAGAGUAAGAAAACAGUGAGAAAAGUGGAAGCAGUGCAAAUCCUGCGAGAAAGGGACAAGAACAACAAAUAGUGUCACAAUCAAAACUAACUAAACAACUGACUUGCACUACUACAACUAGUAUGGCGACAAACACCUAAACCCUCGAAAAGCAAGACAACACUCCAUUGCCUACUAACUUCUACCCUAAUACGCGCUCUCCACACCCUACUAUCUAAGGUCAUGUCCUCGGUAACCUAGAGUUGAGUCAUAUCUCGUCUAAUCACCUCUCCCCAUUACUUCUUCGCUCUACCUUUACCUCUCCUCUUAUCCAUUAUAACCAACCACUCACACCUCCUCACUAGGGCGUCUCCACAUCUCCUCUUCACAUGUCCAAACCAUCUCAAUCUCGCUUCCCUCAUCUUGUCCACCACAGAGGCCACUCCCACCUUAUUCCGAAUAUCCUCAUUUCUAAUCUUAUCGCUCCUUAUAUGCCCACACAUCCACCUCAACAUCCUUAUUUCCAUGACAUGCAUCUUUUGAACAUGGGAGUUCUUGAUUGACCAACACUCCGCCCUAUACAACAAAGUCGGUCUAACCACCACUUUAUAAAACUUAUCUUUAAGUUUCGAUGGUACUUUUUUAUCACAUAAGACUUCGGAUGCAAGCCUCCACUUCAUCCACGCCGCCCCAAUACAGUAUGUGAAUCCUCAUCGAUGUCCCUACUUUCCUGGAUUAUGGACCCUAGGUACUUGAAACUAUCUUUCUUGGGGAUAACCCGAGUGUCAAGCCUCACUUCCACACUUGCCUCUUGCGUUGAAUCACCGAAUUUGCACCCCAAAUACUCUGUUUUGGUCCUGCUUAACCUGAACCCUUUAGUCUCUAAAUAUUAUCUAAUGUAAUUCGAUGUAAAUGUUGAGGGAUGCCCGACUGAAUUGUAUGGUAAUUUUUGAAAUAAUUACCAGAUCUACUUUCACUUUUGCUUAACACACUACAUAUCAUGUGUAGCUUUUUCCGAACAAUAAUUUCAGAAAUAUUUUAGUCAAAUGACUGGAAUAUUUUUUCCUAAGUAACAGAGGGUCCGAGGUUUAAAAACAUCACAUUCCCAUCAGCCUAUCCUUUAUGAACCGAACCCUAAGCACAACAGCUAUAUGUCUGUUGAUGAAUAUAGCAUAACCUUUAUGUCUGCUUUUGCCUAGCUAUACAAUCUGUUUCGUGGCUCUAAAACAGACUGAACAGUUGAAAUAACUGAAUCUUAUCUUUCAAUCGAUUUCUUUGCAUUCAGACGGCUGAAUGUUAUAGUUUCCUUCCUCUUCUCCUACUGUGAGGGAGCUAAGAUCACACCUCUGAGAAACUUCGUCACCUGUACCUUUUGGUGCUCGUUUGCUUUCGCAGUUCAUGUAGUAUGCUUGAGGAUGACUCUCUGAUUCAUUUUAAAUUUUGGAUGAUGCAGAGGAACAGAAGAAGAUGAAUGCAACCUACAUAAUCAGUAUUGCCAGGAAGCUUGGAUGUUCAAUUUUUUUGCUGCCUGAAGAUAUAAUUGAGGUAAUUGUUCAUUUGUAUGCAGUUGUCUUUUGGUUACUUUCUUUUACUUCUGUUAAUUUCCACUAAGACAUUCUAAUAAUUGAUGCAUCCUUCCUGAACAGAGGUUUCAUAUCUAAUAAUGCCUGGAUUAUUUUACUUUUUGGAAAAAUAAUCCCCUCUUUUAGGUUUGGAAACCCAUGGAUUUAGCCAAUGUAUUGGGCACAACUCACAAGUUUCCUCUAGUAUGCUGCAAAACUAAUAUAAUGGUGUGUUUAAUUAGGUAAACCAAAAGAUGAUCCUUACCCUGACAGCAAGUAUAAUGUAUUGGCACUUGAAACAACCGUCGGAAGACCAAAGUUUUGGAUCUUCAGAUAGUGAUAGUAGCUCUGUGGACACAGCCUCAACCUCAACGUUGGAUGAUACAGCUUCGGAGUCUUCAGCGGAUGAUAUCAG